rnacentral:rRNA from 1 species
UACGUAGGUGGCAAGCGUUGUCCGGAUUUACUGGGCGUAAAGAGCGCGCAGGCGGUCGAUCAAGUCCCGUGUGAAAGCCCCCGGCUCAACUGGGGAGGGUCACGCGAUACUGAUCGACUCGAAGGCAGGAGAGGGUAGUGGAAUUCCCGGUGUAGUGGUGAAAUGCGUAGAUAUCGGGAGGAACACCAGUGGCGAAGGCGACUACCUGGCCUGUUCUUGACGCUGAGGCGCGAAAGCUAGGGGAGCAAACGGG